rnacentral:rRNA from 1 species
UACGGAGGGGGCUAGCGUUGUUCGGAAUUACUGGGCGUAAAGCGCGCGUAGGCGGCUUUGUAAGUUAGAGGUGAAAGCCCAGGGCUCAACCCUGGAAUUGCCUUUAAGACUGCAUCGCUUGAACAUCGGAGAGGUAAGUGGAAUUCCGAGUGUAGAGGUGAAAUUCGUAGAUAUUCGGAAGAACACCAGUGGCGAAGGCGACUUACUGGACGAUUGUUGACGCUGAGGUGCGAAAAGCGUGGGGGAGCAAACAGG